rnacentral:lncRNA from 1 species
CAUUCAAAGAUGAUAUAAUAUUUAACUAGAACGAUUAUUGCCAAAAAUAAGAAGACUAAAAAGUCUUGGAAUAAGACUAAAGACUAGAAAGGCAUUGACAAGAGUGAAGAAGGCUUCACUCUUGCUUCCAUAUAUACUCUCUAACAACAAUAUCAUAAGCCCUAAAUCCUAAACCAAACCCUAAGUAAAUCCUAAUCCAAAAUCAAACCCUAA